rnacentral:rRNA from 1 species
UACAGAGGUGGCUAGCGUUGUUCGGAUUUACUGGGCGUAAAGGGCGCGUAGGCGGCAAUUCAAGUCAUCUGUGAAAUCUCCGGGCUUAACUCGGAACGGUCAGAUGAUACUGCUUUGCUAGAGUGCGGAAGGGGCAAUCGGAAUUCUUGGUGUAGCGGUGAAAUGCGUAGAUAUCAAGAGGAACACCUGAGGUGAAGACGGGUUGCUGGGCCGACACUGACGCUGACAGCGCGAAAGCCAGGGGAGCAAACGGG